GAUGAACGCUGGCGGCGUGCUUAACACAUGCAAGUCGAACGGUGAACGAGGGAGCUUGCUCCCUCCGGAUCAGUGGCGAACGGGUGAGUAACACGUGAGCAAUCUGCCCUGGACUCUGGGAUAAGCGUUGGAAACGACGUCUAAUACCGGAUACGAGACGUGGGGGCAUCCCCAACGCCUGGAAAGAACUUCGGUCCAGGAUGAGCUCGCGGCCUAUCAGCUAGUUGGUGAGGUAACGGCUCACCAAGGCGACGACGGGUAGCCGGCCUGAGAGGGUGACCGGCCACACUGGGACUGAGACACGGCCCAGACUCCUACGGGAGGCAGCAGUGGGGAAUAUUGCACAAUGGGCGCAAGCCUGAUGCAGCAACGCCGCGUGAGGGACGACGGCCUUCGGGUUGUAAACCUCUUUUAGCAGGGAAGAAGCGAAAGUGACGGUACCUGCAGAAAAAGCACCGGCUAACUACAUGCCAGCCGCCGCGGUAACAC
rnacentral:rRNA from 1 species